UGGGGAAUUUUGGACAAUGGGCGAAAGCCUGAUCCAGCAAUGCCGCGUGUGUGAAGAAGGCCUUCGGGUUGUAAAGCACUUUUGUCCGGAAAGAAAUCCUCUGGGUUAAUACCUCGGGGGGAUGACGGUACCGGAAGAAUAAGCACCGGCUAACUACGUGCCAGCAGCCGCGGUAAUACGUAGGGUGCAAGCGUUAAUCGGAAUUACUGGGCGUAAAGCGUGCGCAGGCGGUUUUGUAAGACGGAUGUGAAAUCCCCGGGCUUAACCUGGGAACUGCAUUCGUGACUGCAAGGCUAGAGUAUGGCAGAGGGGGGUAGAAUUCCACGUGUAGCAGUGAAAUGCGUAGAGAUGUGGAGGAAUACCGAUGGCGAAGGCAGCCCCCUGGGCCAAAUACUGACGCUCAUGCACGAAAGCGUGGGGAGCAAACAGGAUUAGAUACCCUGGUAGUCCACGCCCUAAACGAUGUCAACUAGUUGUUGGGGAUUCAUUUCCUUAGUAACGUAGCUAACGCGUGAAGUUGACCGCCUGGGGAGUACGGUCGCAAGAUUAAAACUUAAAUGAAUUGACGGGGUCAUAGCU
rnacentral:rRNA from 1 species